UCUAGAACUCGAGAUAUGGGCUGAACACUGAAUAGUGUCUGGACUGCAAGACAAAUUUCGACUUCUCCGUUGUUGCUAAGAUUCCAAACAACAGAAUUGAAUCUUGCACUCCCAUGAAUGUUUUAGGCCUAUGUCUUAGCUUUCUAAC
rfam:Populus trichocarpa isolate Nisqually-1 chromosome 16, whole genome shotgun sequence.